GGCCACAUUGGGACUGAGAUACGGCCCAGACUCCUACGGGAGGCAGCAGUAGGGAAUUUUGCGCAAUGGACGAAAGUCUGACGCAGCGACGCCGCGUGAGGGAUGACGGCCUUCGGGUUGUAAACCUCUGUUGAGUGGGACGAAAACUCGUAGGGUUAAUACCCCUGCGACCUGACGGUACCACUCGAGGAAGCUCCGGCUAACUACGUGCCAGCAGCCGCGGUAAUACGUAGGGAGCAAGCGUUGUUCGGAAUCACUGGGCGUAAAGGGAGUGUAGGCGGAAAAGUAAGUUAGGAGUGAAAUACACAGGCUUAACCUGUGGCCCGCUCUUAAUACUGCUUUUCUUGAGUAUGGGAGAGGAAGAUGGAAUUCCAGGUGUAGCGGUGGAAUGCGUAGAUAUCUGGAAGAACACCAGUAGCGAAGGCGGUCUUCUGGCCCAAUACUGACGCUGAGGCUCGAAAGCUAGGGGAGCAAACAGGAUUAGAUACCCUGGUAGUCCUAGCCGUAAACGAUGGACACUAGUUGUCGGGGGAGUCAAUCCCUUCGGUGACGAAAGCUAACGCAUUAAGUGUCCCGCCUGGGGAGUACGCUCGCAAGGGUGAAACUCAAAGGAAUUGACGGGGGCCCGCACAAGCGGUGGAGCAUGUGCUUUAAUUCGAUGCAACGCGAAGAACCUUACCUGGGUUUGACAUGGGGGUGAAAGUAACCAGAGAUGGAUACCUUUCCUUCGGGAACACCCUACACAGGUGCUGCAUGGUUGUCGUCAGCUCGUGUCGUGAGAUGUUGGGUUAAGUCCCGCAACGAGCGCAACCCCUACCCUUAGUUGCCAGCGGGUUAUGCCGGGAACUCUAGGGGGACUGCCUGGACUAACCAGGAGGAAGGUGGGGAUGACGUCAAAUCCUCAUGGCCCUUACGCCCAGGGCUAGACACGUGCUA
rnacentral:rRNA from 1 species